UUCCCGCUCUUUGACGAUCGCCCCGCUUCGCGGGGAGGAACGUCCGGACAGCACCGGAACGCCCAGUGGGUAACGCCCACCCGUGCAGUGCAUAUCCGGUAAGACUGCAUGCGGAACAGUGCCACAGUGACGAUGCUUCGUACUCCUCAGGGAAUGCGAAGAGUGAAACGUCCCCGCUUCGCGGGGUUGGCCCCCGGCAACCGGGGGUAUCACGGUAAACUCUGGGUGCUGCAAGGAGGAAUUGGGUUGUCGGAGUUCAUGACGGUUCCAUCGUGCCGAUGACCCCUCCGCUACUCCCCGCGAAGCUCGCAAGAGCGAAGUGGGGUAGAGUCACCGAGCAAUCGGUGACCAAGAUAGAUGAUCGUCCUCGACAAAAUCCGGCGUAUGGGAGCGGGAAACGA
rnacentral:RNase_P_RNA from 1 species